UGUGACAGUGGCGCCCUGAAGCCACUCGUGGGUCCGGCCAGCGGGGGCGGAGCGUCGGGUCCGGAUGGCUCUGCGGCCCGCCUUUAAGACGAACGAGCUGAUUCAGGCUUCAGACUCGUCAUGGGAAAAGCCGACCUCAGGGCCGUCGGUCUUCCUCAGUCAGUACUUGCCGAGCACCUGCCGUGCGUGCCUGUGCCCGCAGCCCGCAGCCCGCUGGGGUGGCAGAAGCAGGGCCCGCACCGACGCGUUUAUGGCCACAGAGAGCUUUUCUCCCCCCCGCAGCCUGUGAGAGCCGCCAGGACUCGGCCACGAACUUGACCAGCCCCAAUGGCAGCAACAGUAUUAGCAUGUCGGUGGAGAUUAACGGGGUCAUGUACACAGGAGUGCUGUUUGCCCAGCCGCCGGCGCCCGCACCGCCCCCAGCUCCCAGCAAAGGCGGCGGCGGCCGGGGAGGGAGCAGCGGGACCAGCGGCAGCGGCCAGGCCGGCCCGGCGGGCUUGUCCACACCCGCCACGUCUUCUACCUCAAAUAAUUCAUUGCCUUAACCGCGCCACCCCCCACCUGCCACCCCCCACCCCCGCCUGGGCGAGGGGGUCGAGGUGGGCCAGGCAGGGGCCGGACGACGGAAGAUACGGGUGGGGAGGGGAGGCGUCCACAAAGGAGCCACAGCUAAAGCCAAAAAGAGAAGAAAAAUAUAUAUACAUAUAUAUAUAAAGAAAAUUUAAUAAAACAGGGGAAAACCAAGGAACACUUGAAUUACUCAGGUUUCGGACAUUCAGAGACAUGAUCGUGAGAACAGCGACGGAAGUCAGAAAGGAGAGGCAUUUGUUCCGGGGUCCCACAGCCCUGCUGGACCAGCUGCCCGGGGUCUGGGGUCUGCUGGGACCAGUGGCCGUGGGAGGCCGAUCCUGUUUACCUCAUACAUCUCUGCACUGUGUGUUUUCAUUUUUGUCUGUUUUUUCCCUUCCUUUUUUUCUCCCAUUCAUCACACACCACACCCAGCUCCUUGUGUUGAAUGAAACCCCUGAGCCACGAGCAGUAGAAUUUUUUUCUCCUUGCUUUUAGAGAACUUUUUUUUUUUUAAAGAAACAGUGAUACUCAAACUCUAUAGGGUUUUUAAGAGGUUUUGGGGUUUUUGUUUUGUAAAUAAUCUAUUUUAUUCUUGGGGGAGGACUCAAACCUUAGGAAAAGGAUAUAUAUAUCUAUAUAUUUGUGUUCAUUCAGGGAAACUGGGCUUGAAAAUGCAAAAAAAAAAAAAAAAAAAA